rnacentral:misc_RNA from 1 species
UAUUCCACCUCAAAAAUUAUUGUCAUUCUUGGAUCUUGAACCACCAAAACAACCCCUAGCUACUGGUUGAGUAAUUUGAUUGGAAAAGAUGGGUGGGUUUGAGCUCAAAUGGUUUGUAGGAGUAGCUGUUGUUCUGAUGAUGGUUCAAAAUAUUCUUGGUUGGGGGAAAGAGGGACACUAUAUUAUCUGCAAAAUUGCUGAGGAAUAUCUAACAGAAGAUGCUUUAGCUGCAGUCAAAGCAUUACUCCCAGAUCAAGCCGAAGGUGAUCUUGCAGCUGUCUGCUCCUGGCCUGAUGAGGUUCGGCGCCACUACCACUACCGCUGGAGCUCUCCAUUACAUUAUGUAGAUACACCUGAUUUCUUGUGCAAUUACAAAUAUUGCCGAGACUGCCAUGACGGGCAUGGGCUCAAGGACAGGUGUGUUACGGGAGCAAUAUACAACUACUCAAUGCAACUUUCGCAGGGAUAUUAUGAUUUGAAUUCAGAAAAAUGUGAGGAAGACUGCCCCUCUGUGUUAUUGAUGCAUUUAUUGGACUGGAGCUAAUUGUUUCUAGUGACAGACAACUUGACUGAAGCACUUAUGUUCUUGUCUCAUUUUGUUGGUGACGUACAUCAGCCUCUCCAUGUUGGUUUCACUGGAGAUCUUGGUGGAAACAGUAUAAUUGUUCGUUGGUACAGGAGGAAGACUAAUUUGCACCAUGUAUGGGAUAACAUGAUUAUUGAAUCUGCGUUGAAGACAUACUACAAAUCUGAUAUAAUGUUAAUGACACAAGUUCUUCUGAAAAACAUCACUCAUGAAUGGUCCGAUGAUGUUCCAUCUUGGGAAGAUUGCAAGGAGAUGGUUUGUCCUGACCCAUAUGCUUCUGAAAGUAUCCGUUUGGCCUGCAAAUUUGCCUACAGAAAUGCAACCCCGGGAAGCACUUUAACAGACGAUUACUUCCUCUCUCGUCUUCCUGUUGUGGAGAAGAGGUUGGCACAAGGUGGGGUCCGCUUGGCCGAAGUUCUCAACAGAAUUUUCACUAAAAAACCAUCAGAUGCUGCACAAUGAAGAUAAACUGCAGAAGAAAACCACUCUAUGUAUUCAAUUAUCCAUUAUAACUUGGAAGUUUCCCUCACGCCAAGAACUGAAACCUACUUAAGUGACUUAUAAGUCAACUAUUGUAUUAAAAUGGGUGUAAUAAAAUGUUACUUUAGAUGCACAACUAGUCCAUUAUUACAUGAUAGAUGCUACUAUCAUAUUGGAAUAUGCUGUAUGUUGCUUUUAUGGAUAAUCAACCUCUAUUUUACUUUUUAAGAUAAGAGGAAUCUUCAGCUUGUACACAACAAGAACCAUUUCAACAGUUUUUGUAUAUAUAGAACAAGUCCAAGUUUG